AGUUCUAUAGUUUAAUAGAAAACAUUAAAUUGCAAAUUUAAAGAUAAAAUGUAAUCUUUUGGGACUU
rnacentral:tRNA from 1 species